GCCAGCGCCCUUCCUGCUUGUGAUUCACUUUGUUUUCACUUCAAUUUUAGAGAGAAGACAGUGUUGCUGUUAUAAUGGCCACGGUUACUCCUUAUCUUGUUUUGUUUUCGCUCUUGCUGCUGCAAUGCCAAGGGGAACCAAUUUUCGCACCAGUUUUCAGAUUUGGAUGGGGUACCUACAGAGAUUUUGAAAAGGCUCAUUAUCGGAUGGAGUGUGAGGACCGCGGCUAUCGAAUCGACAUGCUUGGCAAGUGUCGCAAAAUCUUGGAUUGUAAGAAGACAACAAACAGCCUGCAUAAAAUACUCCAUUUUUUUCUUUUUCAGGGCAUCCGGUACAAAAUUAGUAAAUAAGCUAUUUAUUUGAGCACACCGCACCUGGGACAUGUCAUUAGAGCAAAUAAAAUACCAUUCUGCUUUCUCGGAGAGGAUUUGUUUGAUUUAAUUGCUCUCACAGCCCCAAAUAAACAUUUAUUAUAAAAGUGAAAAAUUUAUAUUUUUAAAUAAAAAUGCGAUUUUAAAAUACUUUCUCUCGCGAAAAAUUGCAUAAACUUAAAAAGAAUAGCCUAGAUUAUUGAAAAACUUUAAUGGCAAUAAAAAUAUCUACUUUUAUUAAUAUCACGUGUUAAACUGAUAAAAAAUAAUAAUUUUCUUUAGGUGAGGAGGAAAAAAUAAAGUAAAAAUUGGUUUCUCCCAUUGAAACAUAUGAUGUGGUAAUAAAAGUUAAAAAUAUUUAACAUGGUUUGAUAAACACAUCCUUUCCCUUCUUUGUAAACCAUUUUGGUUAAAAGAGCUUCCUUUCUCAAACUUCUCUGUCCCAGUUUAUUGAAAGCAAUGUGUUCGUCCACUGCUUCCUUUUUCCUUUUUCUCGCCACCGUUUUAGGGCAGUUAUUGAUACCAGGCGCUCCCAACGCAGAAAACGUUCCUCUUAGUGUUUCAGAUCCGCCAGCAUGCCCUACUGGCCAAGUAUUUGACCCCAGGUCAAAAACAUGUCGAGUUAUAACUGAAGACGACGGAGAAAGCUCAUCAAGCAAUAUUAAACAUGCAGAGGUCACACAAAAUUGUCCAGAAGGACAAAUUUUUAAUGAGGAGUCAAACGGAUGCGUGCAACAAAUAGCAAGCAGACUAGGAAUGGAUGUAAUAGAGGUUUCUCCUGAGUCGAUAGGUGAUAUUCCAAUCAGAGAUUGUCCCGAGGGGCAGGUAUUGAUCCCACAUUUGAACACUUGUAGACCUGUUGUAGGAUCCCAAGGUGACGAGCUAUAGGCCGAAUAAAAUUGUAUUUCUAGGAGAAAGAAGAAAAUUUAGAUAAAUACGAUCAUGGUUUUAUCUAUCUAGUUUUUUCCAUAACGAGAAUUGUAAAAAUGCAUUAUUCUUGUUUUGGUAUUUGUUGAUAACUUCAAUUUUUUGCUCCAGUUUGAAAAUAAAAAUAUGAUGCUUAAUAAAUCUAGACACAAAUAGGGAGUUUUGCUAUUUCUUCCCUUUACCUUUUCAUAAUUAGAAAAUUAAUUGUGUAGGAAAAAUAAGAAACUUUAUUAAAUUUAUGAGUGAGGAUAAUUCAUUCAUUCAUUAAAUUAAGGAUUCGCAUAAAUUAAACUAACUGUGAGGUAUGCCAGCUAUUUUAAUAAUUGAAUCUUGUAUGCGAUUUUAUCAAAAUAAAUUGUUAAAUAUAAUGAAACGAAAUCCAUCAUUUUCUCGAACAUUUUUGCAUUUGUUCCUACUAAAAUUCCUAAAUAUACAGUUUUACAUUUGGAAAAAUAUAUUGUGUAAAUUUCAUCUCUAUGUUUGUGUUAAGGAAAGGAUUGGGGAUAAGCGUAUAAUUAUCUAGUUCCGGCAGCCAAGUGAAGGUCAUUAAACCAGUUCUGCCGAAGAUGAAGAGCAGUCUGCCGCUUCAGGGUUCAGCGCCAGUCUGCCCGCACAGAUGGGCCAGGCAACUCAAGCGCAGGUGUGCCUGCUGCUGGUGGGCCUGGUGCUCGCCGCGGCCGCUCUCCUCAACUCAGCCUGCCUUUUCCUCAACUGCAGACAGCAGCCCUUCGUAAAGGAGGGGGAUGCUGCAGGGGUGGCUCCAGUGAGGGUAGAGAAAGGACUGAGGAGAGCGGCACAGCGCCCAGACGUAAGGAUCAUUUGCCGCAAGCCGUUGGUGGAGAUCGCAGGAACAUGCCAGCUUCCCAAUUUGGAGCAAAACUUGCGGAAGGAGGCAAUUGACCUCAACUCGUUGGUAAUUAGGACUGUGAAGAACAGGUGGAAUAAAACAUCAUUCAACCUGAUCAUUGAAGACUCAAAAUACUAGCGUAAUUUUAAAUAUUAUUGAACGUUCUUAAGCCAAUAUAAUGGUUUAGAAUCUUGGACUGUUAUUUGUUACUUUUAAAUAAAAUGGACUUAAAAUGUA